rnacentral:rRNA from 1 species
AUGAACGCUGGCGGCGUGCCUAAUCCAUGCAAGUCGCGCGAACAGACGAGGAGCUUGCUCCUCUGACGUUAGCGGCGGACGGGUGAGUAACACGUGGAUAACCUACCUAUAAGACUGGGAUAACUUCGGGAAACCGGAGCUAAUACCGGAUAAUAUAUUGAACCGCAUGGUUCAAUAGUGAAAGACGGUUUUGCUGUCACUUAUAGAUGGAUCCGCGCCGCAUUAGCUAGUUGGUAAGGUAACGGCUUACCAAGGCAACGAUGCGUAGCCGACCUGAGAGGGUGAUCGGCCACACUGGAACUGAGACACGGUCCAGACUCCUACGGGAGGCAGCAGUAGGGAAUCUUCCGCAAUGGGCGAAAGCCUGACGGAGCAACGCCGCGUGAGUGAUGAAGGUCUUCGGAUCGUAAAACUCUGUUAUUAGGGAAGAACAAAUGUGUAAGUAACGAUGCACGUCUUGACGGUACCUAAUCAGAAAGCCACGGCUAACUACGU